rnacentral:snRNA from 1 species
GCCUCAUUUGGAUGUGUCUGGAGUCUUGGAAGCUUGACUACCCUACGUUCUCCUACAAAUGGACCUUGAGAGCUUGUUUGGAGGUUCUAGCAGGGGAGCGCAGCUACUCGUAUACCCUUGACCGAAGACCGGUCCUCCUCUAUCGGGGAUGGUCGUCCUCUUCGACCGAGCGCGCAGCUUCGGGAGGGACGCACAUGGAGCGGUGAGGGAGGAAGGGGACACCCGCCUAGCCAGCCAGAUCAGCCGAAUCAACCCUGGCGAUCAAUGGGGUGACAGAUGUCGCAGCCAGAUCGCCC